GCGCCGCUAGUCUAAAGGUUAUGACAUCUGUCUGCCAAACGGAUGAUCCGGGUUCAAUUCCCGGGCGGCGCA
rfam:Perkinsus marinus ATCC 50983 gcontig_1104296716764, whole genome shotgun sequence.